rnacentral:rRNA from 1 species
GACGAACGCUGGCGGCGUGCCUAAUACAUGCAAGUAGAACGCUGAGGGAGGAGCUUGCUUCUCUGGACGAGUUGCGCACGGGUGAGUAACGCGUAGGUAACCUGCCCGUUAGCGGGGGAUAACUAUUGGAAACGAUAGCUAAUACCGCAUAAGAUUGACUAUUGCAUGAUAGUCAGUUAAAAGAUGCAAUUGUACCGCUACCAGUUGGACCUGCGUUGGAUUAGGUUGUUGGUGGGGUAACGGCUCACCAAGGCGACGAUACAUAGCCGACCUGAGAGGGUGGUCCGCCACCCUGGGACUGGGACACGGCCCAAGCCCCUUCGGGGAGCCGCAAUAGGGAAACUUCGGGAAUGGGGGGAAAUCUUGCCGAACAACGCCGCGGGAGUGAAUAAGGGUGUCGGGUCGUAAAGAUCUGUUGUAAGGGAAGAACGAGUGUGAGAGUGGAAAGUGCACGCUGUGACGGUAUCUAACCAGAAAGGGACGGCUAACUACGUG